UACGGAGGGUGCGAGCGUUAUCCGGAAUCACUGGGUUUAAAGGGUACGUAGGCGGCCCGUUAAGUCAGGGGUGAAAGCCCGCCGCUCAACGGCGGAACUGCCCUUGAUACUGGGGGGCUCGAAUUGGGUAGAGGCAGGCGGAAUGUGGCAUGUAGCGGUGAAAUGCUUAGAUAUGCCAUAGAACACCGAUUGCGAAGGCAGCCUGCCAGGCCCCGAUUGACGCUGAGGCACGAAAGCGUGGGGAGCGAACAGG
rnacentral:rRNA from 1 species